rnacentral:rRNA from 1 species
AUGUGCGUGGCCGUCUAUAUAAGGCGUGCGAUGUCCUCCUCCUCCCCUUCUCAUUUCCGUUCCCCACCCAGCCCCCGUACGCGCCGCGCCGCCGGUGGAGCUCACAAGCGCCGCCAUGGAGCUCAACGGCAUUGGAGGCCCGUUCUACAACAUCUGCCUCCCCGAGCUCCUGCUGGUGGCUUCAACGCCCGCCGGCGCUUCUCCAGCUCCUCCCGCUGGUGUGGUGGGUCGUCAGUCCAGGGAGAGGAAGAAGGCGCCUGCACGCCUCGCCUUCCGCUGGAUCCCGAGAACUUGGCGGCACGCGGCGUGGCUCGCACUCUACGGCCAUGA